AUUUUAAUAAGUGGCGAUCAUUUUAAUUAUUAGUCAAACGGAAUUAAAAAUAUCUUUUAUGUAUAGAUUUAAAUUAUUUUUAUAGGCUACAUGAUGUUGGCGGUUCGAUGUUCUUUAAUUUGACAGUUUGUUUAUUUUUCCAAUUUCUAACCUAUCAUUUUUCAAAUAUUGGUACUGGCAUACUUCAUCAGCUAAUAACUGUUUUUUUCUUAAUUUAAGGUAUUUUUACGUGUUUAACUUAAACAGACAAUCGAUUAAUAAUAUUCUUAUUGCAAUGAGUUUCGACGACCUUUUCGGAGAUAAUGAAAUUGAGGAUGGAGUUAAUUAUAACUAUGGCUUUACUCAGAAUCUUUAUAACAAUUCUGCUGUUAUAUCAUACCCAAACGAUAUUAAUAUCAAUAGUUUAGUUCUUUUACUAACAAAGUUUAAUAAAACAGAUAUAGUCACAUUAAUUGAAGAAAUAAUAAAUAACAAGAGUGUUAUAGAUGGGUCACCUGUAGUGUUUUUUAUAUUCCAGUCCUUCUUUAAAAAUAAUUUGGACCUACAGAUGUUAACAGAGGAGGAAAUAAUAAAUUUGGACUUCGUUACUCAAAUAAUCAAGAGACUAAAAACAUCAAAUAAAUUUAAUCAUAUCAAUUUUGCCAAAACAUUCUUCUCCAAUUGUGACGCAAAUAUUUCACUUAUUUUCAUAUGGUGGCUACAUAAAGAACAUAUUAUUUAUCUUGAGCAAUACUGGGAUGCUUAUCAGCCACUGGAUUUAAUAGAUAAAUUAAUAAAAAUUGCUGCAAUAAAUGAAAAUAAAGAAAUUCUGGAGGGCAUACUUGUGGAACUUCUUUCAAGUUGUUAUUCUCCUAGAACUGGUAUCUGCCGUCUUCACAAAAGUAAAUUGUGGUCGUCUUUUUGUAGCAAUAUUUUGAAUGACUUUAUUGAGAAGUAUUUUAUUUCCAUAUUAAAAGAAAAAAACCAAGAAUUUAAUAAUUUUCUUCCUCUAAUAACUGGUUCAUUGCUCUUACCAUAUAAUUUUAAGAAACGUUUUUGUAUAAGUAUACUUCAAAAACUGGUUACUUUUGAAAAUGGUGAAUUUGAUAUGAAUAGUGCCUUUUUAUUUCAAUGCCUUUGGACUAUGGAAAAUACACCAGAGAAAUUGGAAAAUGUCCUGAAAGAGGUUUUUUUCAGAUUAUUGUGAUUUUAACGAUGUUAUGGAAAUUUUUAAAAAGUGCGACAAUAACAUAAAUUGGAAGUAUCUUCUUACUGUAAUAGCUGCAUGUGCUAAACAUUCAAAAGCAAGUCAAAAGCAGUUACAAAAAACCGUACAUGAUAAUUUGCUGAGUAUGUUCAAAGGCGGAAAGAUUUCUGAUUUUAAAACUGCUAUACUUCUUAUAA
rnacentral:misc_RNA from 1 species